rnacentral:rRNA from 1 species
CAUCACUACGCUAGAUGCAUAUCAAUAAGCGGAGGAAAAGAAACUAACUAGGAUUCCCUCAGUAACGGCGAGUGAAGCGGGAAGAGCUCAAAUUUGAAAUCUUCAGGGUUCUACCUUGACGAAUUGUAGUUUAAAGAAGUGUUUUCUGUUGGAGUUUUGGUAAAAGUUCUUUGGAAUAGGACAUCAUAGAGGGUGAGAAUCCCGUAUUUGACCAUUAUUUCCAGCUGUGUGAUACACUUUCAAAGAGUCGGAUUGUUUGGGAAUGCAGUCCAAAAUGGGUGGUAAAUUUCAUCUAAAGCUAAAUAUUGGCGAGAGACCGAUAGCGAACAAGUACCGUGAGGGAAAGAUGAAAAGAACUUUGAAAAGAGAGUUAAACAGUACGUGAAAUUGUCAAAAGGGAAGCGUUUGACACCAGUGUUGUUUUCUCGAAAAUCAAUUAAAAAUGGUGGGAUGUUGUGUUGUAUUGACUUUAUCAGCUUUCUGCACUUUUUUUCCUAUCUUUUUUAAUGCACUUUUCGUUUAACAAGUCAACAUCAAUUUCUUUUGUUGUAAAAGAGUCAUUGGAAGGUGGCUUUCAUUUUCGGAUGAAAGUGUUUAUAGCCUUUGACCUCUGCAAUCGGAGAGAUUGAGGUCUGCAGCGUAGAUCCUUCGGGGUUAGAUACAUUUGUGCUAAGUUAUAGCUUUUCAUAGACAACUUGUUGACUAUGAUUAAGUCAUGUAGCUUACUCGCUUAUGCUAUUUUACCUACGCUUAGGAUGUUGAUAUGCAUGACUGAUAU